CUUGGGGACUGGGCGAGGUGAGGGCUUGGGCGGGCGUGAGCCCCAGGUGCUGCGCUCUCUGCUUGGGCUCGGAACCCGGCAGGACCAGAACCACAGUCUCCGGGGUCAUCCGUUCCCUCCCCACCCAAAAAGGAAUCGCCACCGGGUCGGAGGCUGAGGCUUAGAAGCUGAUGUCUUCUCUCCGAGGUGGAAUUACAUUUACCAAGCUCAUGGGAUUGAUGUGGAAAAUCGGAACGUCAGUGUAUUCACUGAUAACGAGAAAUAUAAUUGCUGAGAAGACCGGAAUACUCUCAUCAGUGUGACCAGCACAUUCUUUCCCGGAGGCAGAUCUAAGUGAAAAGCCAAAUUAUACAAAGAAGGUGGCUUGGCGAGCAUUUGAUCAUUGAGUUCGAUUGAUGAAGAACCUAAUGCAGGUCUCCAUUGAAUGUCAACGUCAAACAUUGUACUGGACACUAGGUGGAGGAUGGUGAAUAAGAGAGAUGGGUCUCCGUGCUCACAGGUUCUAAGGCACUGGGGGAAGACAGGCCCUGAACAGGUAAUGAGACUUCUAGGUUAGAAAAACUACACCCCUUUCCCUCUGCUUCCUCCCCGAAACUACGAAAAUAACAGGAACGGAAUUGUUCUGAAAAGGCAAAACGCAAAGACAGAGGUCUGCAAACCAUGGUCCACAGGCCAGAUCUAGCCCGCUGCCUGUUUCGGGCCAGCCUGUCCUAAGAACAGUCCUAUAUUUGCAAAUGGCUGGAAAAAAAUCAAAACCAGAAUAACAUUCUGUGACACGUGAAAAUGAUAUGAAAGUCAGAUUUCAGAGUGCAUAAAUAAAGUUUUGUGGGAACGCGGCCAUGCAUUCCAAUGCAGGUCCCAUGUAUUGUCUACGGCUGCUCUCGCGCUACCAUGACAUAGUUAAGUAGGUGCGAAGGAGGCCAUAUGGCGUGCAGAGCCAAAAAUAUUUACUAUCCGGCCCUUUACAGGAAAAAAAAAAAUCCCAACCCCUGCUCUAGAACAGCACCGUCCAAUGGAACUUUCUGCAGUGACGGAAGGGGUCGUGUACCGCCAUCCGAUAUGGUAGCUGGCCACUAGCUCCAUGUGGCUACUGAGCCCUUGAUAAGUGGCUGGUGCAACUAAGGACCUGAACGUUUAUUUUAUUUAUUUUAAUGAAUUUAAAUGUGAGUAGCUGGCAGAAGCUGCUGUGUUGGAUGGCACAGCGGUCGACUAUGACAAGAGGGCAUCUGGGCUGGGAAACACCACGUGUCGUGGAAGAUGGGACAUCCGCCGGAAAGCAGGGGUAUUAAGUGAAAGUUUACAUAUGGAAGCCUGGCAUGCCCCACCCAAUCUUCUUACAGGCUGCUUUCCUGACCUAGAUUCCAGAAUGCUGGCAGGGAGAAUCACACUCUCCCAAAAAGAAGCUGGGGGAACCAUCUCUGGGGAGUUUGACCGGCUCGGGAGGAAGGACCUAAACAUGCGUUGGGAGCUUCCUAAUCGUCAUACCAAAUUGGCAGUGAAGAGACCCCCUGCCAAUCACAUAGCAUUCAGUAACCUUUAGCCUAGGUCCCACCCUCCCCCAUGAGCAGGCGGCCAAGGGCCCUCGUACAUUCGAGGAACAAUGUAAACGUGAAAGAGACCAAACAAACAGAUGGACAGAUCUAAGCGAAGAUCUCUGGGCGCACGUAUUUUGUUAAAUUUGGAGGUCUAUAAUGCUGGAAGAGAAAAAUGGCCUUUCUUUUCACUAAGUUCAAGGCAGCAUUUUCUUCGCUUACAAACAUAAGCAACAAACUGUAGUAGUGUUAGCAGUUUCUGUGACUUCAUCAUCAAUAGAAACCAGGUAUUUUCCUACCAUGAUGGUAUUGUUGGAGUCAUUUCAUAACAUCAUUUAUGCUCGUCGUGACUUUGAAAUGAUGGUAGUCAUUAGACACCCUGCUAAAUCUUCUAAUAUAGAAGCACAUAUGUCAGUAUAUGACAGAUUUGUUUUUUAAAUAUUUUGAUAAGUGUAUGUUGAUGUAAAUGAUUUCCUUUGUAAUCCUGUGCAUAGAAGUUGAUUCAUUUAAAGAUAUUACGCUGAGAAAAGGUCCACAGUCUCCACCUGACUGCAGAGGGGUCCAGGGCACAAGAAGGGUUCUCUUUAGGAUGGCUAGGGAAUGGAGAUCAUAAUCGGUAAGCACUUUGUGCCAGAUUUUAAACCUCAGAAUUCUAAGAGUAAUUAUUAUUAUUACUUUGAUAGCUUUCCUUAGUACUUAAAAUGUUCAUUUUGUCAUUGCAAUGGGAUAUUUGGAGGGGGAGAGAAUCAUAGAAGGACUUAAUCAGCCCCCUUGGCCCAAAAGUUCAGUUUUCUUUUCUAAAAAUAGUACGUGCACAUCAUAAAUAAGCUAGAAAAGUACAAAGAGGACGACAAAAAUCACCUCCAAUCCCACUACCUAUUUGGCGAACAUUGUUCUGGGCAGCAUUGUGUGCAUAAACACAUAACAUACACAUAUAUCCACACAAACAUAAAGAUCAGUAUAUGUAUAAAGAUAUAUACGUAAUUAUAGGGGCGCCUGGGUGGCUCAGUCCGCUGAGCGCCCACUUUUGGUUUGGCCCAGGUCAUAAUCUCACGGUUUGUGGGAUCCAGCCCCCGAGUCAGCUCCAAGCUGACAGCACAGAGUCUGCUCAUGAUUCUCUCUCCCCCUCUUUCUGCUCCUCCCCUACGCACAAUCACUUGUUCUCUAAAUAAAUAAAUGUGAACAAAAUAAAGUUAAAGACAUAGACAUAAUUUUUGACAAAAACAGAAUCAAAGUACACAUUUAUUAUUAUUUUAUUUUUUACUACACAUUUAUUAUUAUCAUUGUAUUUUUUACCCUGCGUUUAUCUUCUAUAGUAAUAACAAGAAUUGAGGCGGGUAAUUAUUUUCACCAGUCAGUUAAGGAAACUGAGACUCAGAUAAUUAAAGCCUGGUGCAUGGUCACAGGUGGUGAGAGAGAAAAAUCUCUCGGUCAUCCCAGAAUGACUUACUGUUCAAGGACCCCAUGUCUGUGAGCGGGGAAGCCUGGAGUUCAACUGGACUGAGAGAGCUUCACCCUCCCAGCUGCACUUACCCAAAAGCUUGUGACCCGAAAUCUUUGUGAUUUGGGGGGAUUCUAGCUCGGGUGCAGGUGACCCAUAUGCCAAGUCCCAAAAGAGAUCCGCUGAGAAGCUUCAACUGAAUGAUCAUACUUGGAGGCAGGAAUCUGGCACAUCCUGGGCUCCUUUCUGUAUUUCCAUUCUGAUUCCUUUGGGAAGCAAAUGGGGGCAAGUCUUCUCAUUAACUCCAAAUGCAGCCCUUCGUGGGCACCACGUGCUGCGGUGGACAGAUGGAAAGCCAUCCACACAAAGGCUGACCUCUCCAUCCCGUCUGGCUCCCUGGAACUGGAGGAAGAUGAGACAAAGUGGACUUCCUGAGGUCCGUCCCAGAAUUUAUUUAAUCUGCCGGAUCCCAAAGCUCGGCGGGGCUGCAUCAGAAUCACCUGAGGAGCCUGUUGAAAGCAGUGAUGCAAGGUUCUGAUUCUAGAGUAGUGGAUGUCAACCUUGGCUACCCAUUAGAAUCACCAGGGAAGCCUUUAAAAAACAAAAUGGCGGAGUAGGCAUGUUAUGGACUGAAUGUCAUCCCCAAAUUCCUGUGUUGAAACCUCACCCAUCUCCUAUCAAUGUAAUGGCAUUAAGAGGUGGAGCCUUCGGGAGGCCUGACCUUAGAUGAGGCCAGGAGGGAGGAGCCCUUUAAUGGGAUUAGUGCCCUUACAGGGCUCACCGAGAGCUGUACUUCCUGUAUCUGCUCUCUGCCUUGUGAGGGUACAAUAAGAAGCUGGCAGUCUGCAGCCUAGAAGGGGGGUCCUCGUCAGAACCUGGCCAUGCCAGCACCCUGAUCUUGGACUUCCAGCCUCCAGGAAGUUCCUGGUGUUCAAGGAAAUCUCUGUCAAAACUCCGUGGAGCAUGAGCUAAAGGAACAGAGACAUCAGUGACUUCAUGUGAGUUUAUGUUCAUCUGCUACAGCAGCGGUAGGAAGCUAACGCAGCACUCAUUGAACGUUAGCUCUGGCCAUUGGGGAGGAACUUCAGCUCCAUGUUACCUGUGGUCAUUGUGUUCAGUAAAUACUGAUCACAAUAAACAUAAUGAAUACAAGAACUCACCGGAAGCGGUAUAGCAGGAGGUCUGUUCCUUUUCUGCUUAACUGUUGGUAUCGGAAGCAUCUGAAAGUACUUUGUUCAGUUUUUUAAAAAAAUCUGUAAUUCUGAACCAGUUACUUAAUUCCACGGUGCAGGCCUGAUUCCACACUUUGGCGAAAGUUAAUAAUUUUUUAACAGGUAGAGGCGGCGGUGAAAUGGAACACACCUCAGGUCGGAAGUCCGAAAGUUGGGCCCUGGUCUCAGCUCCACCUCUAUCUGGCCGUGUGACUUAGGUCAUCUUGCCUCCUCUCUUUGGGUUUUGUUUUCCCCAUUCAGAAAAUGAAGGAAUUAGAUCAAUAAUAACUCCCAUGUGUCAAAUGCCUGCAAUGCACAAUUUAUACAUGUGGUCUCAUUUGAGCCACAUAAAAACUGUGCAAGGUAUCACCCCCAUUUUAUAGUUGAGAAAACGGAGAGGCCCAGAGAGGUUAAGUGACUUUCCCAAGGUCACGGAGUAUCAGGCAGAGCUGUGAUUUAAAACCAGGACUGUUUGACUCUUUUUGAUAAGCCCCUCUACCUUUCCACGUUUUGGAGGUCAACAGUGUCUUUACAGAACAUGCUUAGGAGGCACCUGCUUUUCUCCGUACAUCAUAGUGAGGAUGAUGGGUCUCUCUAGCUUCCCACUUGAGGGCUCUGGAACCUGGUCCAUCUCUUGUGUUUCUGAGAACCUCUGAUUCAGCCCCUCAGAGACUUCCCUCACAACCACGUAUCCCUCCUCUCACCUCUAACAGACACUACGAGGUGCUGAACCAAUGUCUGGCCUCUCCUUUUUACUUAGUAACAGAGUCCUAAUUUUGUUCGAAUAAAAUGUACCCACUUAAAAAUACCUGCCCGCAUUCCCUUGCAGGUGGACCCUUACAGGUGGUCCCCUGACCCAGUUCUGACCAAUGAGAUGUAAGUGGACAUUUGGGUGGGGAUUCUUGGGAACCUAUCUUCUUCAUACUAAAAGGUGGGAGAAGUCAGCAAGCCCAAGGCACAAAUUGCCUUUGUUUUCAUCGUCACCUGGAACAUAGGUGAGGUUUCUGGAAGUGGAGCAGCCAUCUUGUGACUAUGAGGGUGAGUGCCACCUGCUAAGGAUAGCAGAGCCGGAAGACCAAAGAAACUUCUUUGUAAUCGGUCCUCUGUACCAGCCUGGAUUGCCUAGACUUCUUGUCACAUGAGAAAAAUAAAGCUUUAUUUGGUCAGAUUUCUGUUCUGUCAACUUCAUACCAUCCUGACAGGUUCUCUGAGAAAAGUCUCUCCUCUGCCCUGUAGGCCUGACAUGUGGCCUUAAUAAGCACCUGUGGUGACUCAAAAAUAGACCAGGGGGAAGAGAAAUUGGCCAUGGCUGUGAUUCUGAACUUGCUGAGCCAUCACCUGUUCAAUCCAUGCUCUGAAGAAGAGUCUGUUAAUUACACUCUCCUUGGCCAGCCAGAGCACAGGAGGCUGCGUCCGUGUGUUCUCAGGGAAGCUCAAAUAUAGCUCAGGCUCCUUCCCUGCUUUUGCUGAGUGUGCAGCUUCUGCGUGUCUGGCAGCCCCAGCGAAGAAUGGAGAAGCUUUUCCCGGGAGGUUAGAGUCUGAAGAAGGUGCUAGAAAACAGGGAUGCUGGCAAGGUCUGGCUCAAGGAGACAAGAUCUUCCCUCCCGCCUUCUGCAAGGAGUUAAAGCAAUAUGGAAAAGUACAAAGAAGGAAGUGAGAAAGUCAAGUGAUCAAGGUCAACAGCACGAAGGGGUUUCAUUGUCAGGAAUGAGCUGAGGCUCAGGAAGCAGCCACGAAAACCUGCCUUGCACCCCCUCUCAUUUCUCCACUGCGCUGGAAUCGGACUCUAAAUGGAAGGAGGGAGUCAAGAGGGCCCCAACCUGGCUCCCUCAUCCGGGCAGAAGCUGUCCCUUUAAAAGAGAGAGGAGGCAGAGUUGGCUUACUGCUUCCAGAAGAGGCUGACUGACAGCCAGUGUGCUCCCGGGAGGCCUGAUGUCAGCAGUGAGCAACAAGGCAUCUGACUGGCAGCAGAAUGAGGAGUCCAGGAGCCUUGGCUGUGACGGAGGGGGGGGGGGGGGUCCUCUGCACAGCACCCACCGAGCAGGCAUUUAAAGUUGCAGGAAUUGGGUCCAUCCCAGGCUCUUCAGGGCCCCUCUCUCAGCGUUACCUAUCACGCAGGGCUUCUCUCCUCCAUUCUCUCCAUCCUUGGAACGGGGGCGUCCUGCCUGCAAGACCAGACUCCCGUUCCAGCACUGGAACCACCCCCCGAGUGCCAGGUCUGGACCAUACCUGGCUCUCAAGUGCAUGCUCUCCUUCCCUCCUCCCCUCUGAUGAUGAACUUGACACUAUUUUUUUUUCUAAUUGUAAAAAAAAAAAAAAAAAGGAAGGAAGGAAAGAAAGUACCAGUUGACUCUUGUACGUUGCUGAUGCCCACGCAGUUGAAAAUCACGUAUAACUUUUGACUCCCCCAAAACUUAACUGCUAAUAGCCUACUGUUGACUGGAAGCCUUAUUGAUAACAUAAAUGGUUAAUUAACAGUUAUUUUGCAUGUUGUCUGUAUUAUACACUGGAUUCUUACAAUAAAGUGAGCUGGAGAAAAAGUGUUAUUAAGAAAAUCAUAAAAAAAGAGGACAUGUACAGUAUGAGACUGUAUAUAUGGGGGAAAAUCUGCAUCUAAGUGCACCCGUGCAGUUCAUGGUCAACUGUACAGAGAACACUGUAAAGAAUAAAGUGAAAAUUAUGCUUAGCCACAA